AGAAUCAACGCUGGCGGCGUGCCUAACACAUGCAAGUCGCACGAGAAAGGGACUUCGGUCCUGAGUAAAGUGGCGCACGGGUGAGUAACACGUGAAUUAUCUACCUCCGAGUGGGGAAUAACUGAGAGAAAUCUUAGCUAAUACCGCAUAACACUUACGAGUCAAAGCAGUAAUGCGCUUGGAGAGGAGUUCGCGGCCGAUUAGUUAGUUGGCGGGGUAAUGGCCCACCAAGACGAUGAUCGGUAU
rnacentral:rRNA from 1 species